CCUCACUAUCUUCUUUGGCUUCUCGCCUCUUUCUCUGCCUCUUUUCUUAUGAGAUAUGUUGUCGCCUUGGACUAAUCCAAGCCUUUGAUUUCUAUUGCUAUGGAUUAUCAACAGUCCAGAACUUCUAUUCUUUCGUGUUGGUGUGCCAGCUAACAAGAUUGUGUCUGCUCUCAGGUUAUAUGGAUUGUGCUCCUAAUUUGCUGACAAAUCUUAUCUAUUGAAGAGAUUCUUCUUCACUUUGGCAAGCCAGAGGCAGAAGCAUUACACACAUUUAUUACAGUAUAUGUUUGGAAGCAAGGAGAAGUCUAUAAGGUGAAGCUUGGGAAUUUACUCUGUCAAGACUUGGUAUGUCCUCAUAUAUUCGAGGACAUAGUCUAUGUUUUCUUAGUUUAUUUAAGAGUUAUUAUGUAUUAUGUAAAGGGCCGUGUCCCUAAGAUAAUUAUGUCGUGUCUUUAAGUUUGGCUUGUGACGAUGAGACUUUCUUAGUAUUUUAUGAAAGAUGUUUCUUUUAUUAAAUUAUUCGUGAAAAGUUUUAAUUCCACUACUUUUCAUGUCUUAUGUAAUGAACGAUAGUUAAAUGAUUGUACAAGACCCCAAAAGGUCGAGUACGUCUUGUGACGAUUCAAGGGUUCUCCCUAUCUUCUAGGGGGUACUUGCGGAUCGUUACAUUAAAAUAACCAAGCGAUAAAAUGAAACAAAGAAAACCUAGAAGUGGGAGAGAAUUGAAACAUACAAAUUGUUUACUGAUAAAGUAUAAAGACAGAAAAAGAACAUUUGAUAAAAACAAGUGGAGAAACAUGUAAUGAACAUAAAUCUAGAGGUGGAAAAAAUCAAAAGGUAAAUGUCAAAAGUGUCAGUAAAUGAAGUUUCACUUUAGUUACCAUUAAACACACAUGUUAAUACAUUUACAAAAUCACACUUCUAAUAUAGUAGAAUAUGCAGGUGAAGAAAUAUCGUGGUCUAUGAAAUUAUUGCACAAAAAACACAAAAUGGACUUCACUAAGGAUUGUGAUGAAUGAGAUAAGAUAUUUUCAUACUUAAUUAGCUAAGAAUUUUGAUAUAAAUUUGGAUGAUGGUUUUAUUUAAUCAAUGAACUUUUAAUAAAAAGCACUUUCCCCGUUCUAUGUUUUAAAUGAUGGAGGGGACUAAAGAUCCCCCAAUUUUUUCAAAAGCAAAUAUUGUUAUUUUAUUAAUAAUUUCAACAUCAAAAAACAAACACCACCUCGAAAGUAGCCCAAACAACAAAAACACAUAAAAGAAUAACAUUCUAUUCUACCCCCAAUCCAACUCUUACCCGGAUGGAGCUAUAUAUAGAUACUUAGAGUAGGGUUUCAUAAAACAGAUCCCCUCAUUAUCUUCUUUUCUCAACUCUUUCUCUGUUUCUUUUGUUAUGAGAUAUGUUGUCGCCUUGGAUUAAUCCAAGCCUUUGAUUUCUAUUUCUUUGGAUUAUCAACAACCCGGAGCUUCUAUGAUUUCGUGAUUGUGUGCCAGCUAACAAGAGUUUCAUGGGUCGUGGUCCUAAUUUGCUGGCAGAUCUUAUCUGUUGGAGAGAUGCUUCUUCACUUGGUAAGUCUUCACAAUUCUCAUUUUCGUUCUUUGCUCUCUAGCCUUUGUCUUCCUGUAGGUUGGAGUGCAUUUUGGUCCACCUCCUUGAAAAAGUAUUGAUAACUUUUUCUAUGAAGCGUCAAACACAUUUAUUACAGGUAUUAUUCUCAAGUGUGACUAUAUGGUCACUGUUCUAUAUGAUCCCGCCUCCACUUUAAUUUAAUCUUGUGUUAGUAUUGAAAAAUCUAUGUGUUAUUUGUGUAUAUAAAUUGAAAUUUCAUUUAUUCGUAAUUAAUAUCCUAGUUGAUCCUAUAAAUGUUAUCGAACACGAUAAUUGGUACUCUAGACAAGUGUCCUUCUCUAUCCUCUAGUACUAGGAAAAUAUAUUUUCAAUGUUCUAAUACCUGCACUAAAUGUAGAAAAAGAAUUGGAAUAGCCUGACAUCUUUUGGCCAAUGGGGACUUUUACUCAAUCUUUUAUUGUAUAUAUAAAAAUCGGAGUGUCCCAUGUAUUAUGAUUGCACAAGUAUAUUUUAACAUCCAAAUUUAUUCUAAUUGAACUAAAUUUGGAACAAAUACCAUAUAUAUAUCAUAAAUUAAAAAAUAAACCGCAAUCAUGUUAUGAUGACAACAUUCCCAAGAGUAUCCUACAUGUUGACCCCCUGCAAGUGAGUAGACAAUUGAUUGCAAAUACCAACCGGUAGAUUAUAGGCAUGAAGUCAAAUUUUUGACUUAAGUCAACAGCUCGGCCUGAUGACUAGAAUAUGCAUGAUCAUAUUUGCGAUCAAUUUCCAACCCAGCUGCGGGGUCAACAAGUAGGAUACCCUUGGGAGUGUCAUCAUAACAUGAAUUGCGUUUGUUCUUUAAACUAUGAUAUAUUGCACAUAUGUUCCAAAUUUAGUUUAUUUAGAAUGUCACACUAACACUUUAUUUUUCAGGUUAUCAACACAUGCUUAGUAUAUGUAAUUAAUCUCAUGUUAGUGUUGAAAAACAUGUGUGUUAUUUGUGUAUAUAAAUUGAAAUUUCAUUUAUUCCAUAACCAAUACCCCAUUGAUUCUAUACAUGUGAUCGAACACAAUAAUUAUUACACUAGAGGAUUGUCCUUUUCAAUCUUGUAGUACUAGGAAAAGGUCCUCUCAAUGUUCUAAUAUCCGACUGGAUGUAGAAAAAGAACUGCAAAAAGUUGACAUCCAUUGGCCAAUAUGGACCUUUACUCAACCUUAUAUUCUAUAUACAAAAAAUCAUCUCAAUUAAGAGAACAUGUCAAAUAUGAAAAUCAAAUUCAGCUUCUGUUCCAAAUGAUUUCUUACAAUGAGCAAUGGCUGCCUAAAUAGAAUUAUCCCUUCAAUAAAAUUUUCUAACGUCGUCAUCACAUACAUUGCUAUGCUUUGGUGACGUCUUAAUAGACUUGCCAUCAACUUAUUCGAUUGGUAAAAACCCUAAAAAUGAUUGAAUAUGUGAUUUUUAUGUGUUUUAGAUUAUGAACAAACUGAAUUUGUUCAAGAAAGGGAAAGGCUUUAGCUGGGAUAGCUUGCAUUCUGGUACCAUACUUGUAUACUACAUGGAUGGAGACAGUCCCAUAUAUAUUAUAAUUGCACAUAUAAUUUAACAUCCAAAUAUAUAUGAUUCAACUUCUCUUCAUUUCUCUUCUUUUCAUUUUUUUCAAGUUCUACCUUGGAUCGAAGACACGUGUCAUAGUUUAAAAUCAAUGGUUGAGAUUUAAUUAAUUAAAGUAAAGUUUCAACCAUAGUUAUUUACUUCCAUAUAUUUGCUUCUUAAAUAUUUAAAAAACAAAUAUAUGGAGAUAAAUAAUUAUGAUUAGGACUUUAGUUUAAUCAAUUAAAUCUCAACCAUUAAUUUCAAACUAUGACAUGUGUCUCCAAUGCAAGCUAGAACUUGAGAAAAAUGAAAAGAGGAGAAAUGAAGAGGAACCGGAUCCAAAUAUAAUGUAAUUAAUCUAAAUUUGGAACAUAUACGCUAUAUAUGAUAAAUUAAAAUACAAACCUCAAUUAUGUUAUGAUGUUAGUAAGCAAUUGGUUGCAAAUACCAAUGGGCUGAUUCUAGACAUUUUGCCAAUGUCAAGAACUCGGCCUAAUGUCUAGUCCAUUGGUAUUGGCCAUCAAUUGUCUACUCAGUUGUGGGGGUCAACAAGUAAGAUACCCUUAGGACAUUGUAAUCAUAACAUGAUUUGGACUUGUUAUUUAAUUUAUGAUAUAUAGAACAUAUGUUUCAAAUUAUGUUUACUUACAAUGUUCUGAACCCAACUCAUUAACCACAGAAACAAAAUUAUAAUAGUUCGACAUCCAUUGGCCAACUAUGGACCUUUACUCAACUUUUUAUUAUAUAUAUACAAAAAUCAUCUCAAUUAAGAGAACACUGU
rnacentral:lncRNA from 1 species